rnacentral:rRNA from 1 species
GUGUCAGCCGCCGCGGUAAUACGGAGGGGGCGAGCGUUGUCCGAAGUUACUGGGCGUAAAGCGCGCGUAGGCGGGGAGGCAAGUCCGCUGUGAAAGCCUGAGGCUCAACCUCAGCGGGUCGGUGGAUACUUCCUCUCUUGAAGGCGUUAGGGGGAGAUGGAAUGACCGGUGUAGCGGUGAAAUGCGUAGAUAUCGGUCGGAACACCAGUGGCGAAGGCGGUCUCCUGGGACGUUCUUGACGCUGAUGCGCGAAAGCUGGGGGAGCGAACGGGAUUAGAAACCCCAGUAGUCC